GACGAACGCUGGCGGCGUGCUUAACACAUGCAAGUCGAACGGAAAGGCCCUGCUUUUGUGGGGUGCUCGAGUGGCGAACGGGUGAGUAACACGUGAGUAACCUGCCCUUGACUUUGGGAUAACUUCAGGAAACUGGGGCUAAUACCGGAUAGGAGCUCCUGCUGCAUGGUGGGGGUUGGAAAGUUUCGGCGGUUGGGGAUGGACUCGCGGCUUAUCAGCUUGUUGGUGGGGUAGUGGCUUACCAAGGCGUUGACGGGUAGCCGGCCUGAGAGGGUGACCGGCCACAUUGGGACUGAGAUACGGCCCAGACUCCUACGGGAGGCAGCAGUGGGGAAUAUUGCACAAUGGGCGGAAGCCGGAUGCAGCAACGCCGCGUGCGGGAUGACGGCCUUCGGGUUGUAAACCGCUUUCGCCUGUGACGAAGCGUGAGUGACGGUAAUGGGUAAAGAAGCACCGGCUAACUACGUG
rnacentral:rRNA from 1 species